AAUCAACGCUGGCGGCGUGCCUCAGACAUGCAAGUCGAACGCGAAAGGCCCCUUCGGGGGCCGAGUAGAGUGGCGUCCGGGUGAGUAACACGUGGGUAAUCUACCUUCGGGUGGGGAAUAACGACCGGAAACGGUCGCUAAUACCGCAUAAUGCAGCGGCACCUAAUGGUGACAGUUGUUAAAGCGGGGGAUCGCAAGACCUCGCGCCUGAAGAGGAGCCCGCGGCGGAUUAGCUAGNGGUGGGGUAAAAGCCUACCAAGGCGACGAUCCUUAGCUGGUCUGAGAGGAUGAUCAGCCACACUGGGACUGAGACACGGCCCCAGACUCCUACGGGAGGCAGCAGUGGGGAAUAUUGGACAAUGGGCGAAAGCCUGAUCCAGCAAUGCCGCGUGAGUGAUGAAGGCCUUAGGGUUGUAAAGCUCUUUUACCCCGGGUAUGAUAAUGACAGUACCGGGAGAAUAAGCUCCGGCUAACUCCGUGCCAGCCGCCGC
rnacentral:rRNA from 1 species